ensembl:miRNA
UUCAUGGAUCGGUGGUGUGUGUGUGUGUGUGUGUGUGUGUGCGUGUGUGCGUGCAUGCGCAUGCAUGCACCCCUCACUUCC